CCCAAAAUGCACAAGUUCUCGCGAGACGCAGUAAGGCACCGGCUCGAACUGGGGCGGGCCACUGCCAGGAAAGCAACGCCCCUGAAUACUUAUGCGGGUGGUUAGAAGAGGAAAUGGAAUUCCCCGGACUGCACCUCUUGACUUGCUACUGGUACCUGGAAGAGAUGUAACACCUGACCAUGGGACAUCAAGUGACUGUGUGAAUCAAACUGCCCAUCAUGAAUUGUUGUUAUUUGACUCACCAAACUGUACAACUGGAUAAACACAGGAGCAGUGUACUACAUAUGAGACUGGAACCAUGAAUGAGCAGGUGACUCAGACUCCUAUAGUACCUGCCUCUACUCCUUCAGCACUUCUCCCUCAACCCACAUAAACUGUCAUCAUAAGGAGUUCCCUCUGACCAGUUAAUGGAAGAGAAAAAAGUAUGGAUGUUGUGGAUAUCCUAACAUAUCUCUGGCCAUUGGACCCCUAGAAACCUGUGGCAAGUCCUGGAAGUUUUUCAAGGUUCAUCUUGCACCUUCUAGCAUGCAUAUGUCUUACCAAAGCAUGUAGAAUGCUGCCUACUUUUGCUCAUCAGUUUCAUUUAAUACAAUUUCAUUACUCUAAUAAAUCAGUGUGAUGUUCUAUGGAAUAACAAGACCAUCAAGGUCCCUUCAUACCAUAUAGAGAACAGGAGAGUUGAUGUAGCCUGAGACAAGACAGUAAGGACUUACUGUUAUCCCUCCUAUUUAAACGUAGUCUGUUUCUGAUUCUCCUUAUAAUUAGAAUGGUGGUGGGGGGGACAUUUCCAGAUCAAUAUCAGAUCAGUAUCAUGUCAACAUGUGUAUUAAUUUCUUCCAAAGAAGAUACCACACCUAGAACAGCAACCAUAAUUGGCAUCCCUACCUA
rnacentral:antisense_RNA from 1 species